rnacentral:rRNA from 1 species
UGGGGAAUUUUGGACAAUGGGCGAAAGCCUGAUCCCAGCAAUGCCGCGUGUGUGAAGAAGGCCUUCGGGUUGUAAAGCACUUUUGUCCGGAAAGAAAUCCUUGGCUCUAAUACAGUCGGGGGAUGACGGUACCGGAAGAAUAAGCACCGGCUAACACGUGCCAGCAGCCGCGGUAAUACGUAGGGUGCAAGCGUUAAUCGGAAUUACUGGGCGUAAAGCGUGCGCAGGCGGUUUGCUAAGACCGAUGUGAAAUCCCCGGGCUCAACCUGGGAACUGCAUUGGUGACUGGCAGGCUAGAGUAUGGCAGAGGGGGGUAGAAUUCCACGUGUAGCAGUGAAAUGCGUAGAGAUGUGGAGGAAUACCGAUGGCGAAGGCAGCCCCCUGGGCCAAUACUGACGCUCAUGCACGAAAGCGUGGGGAGCAAACAGGAUUAGAUACCCUGGUAGUCCACGCCCUAAACGAUGUCAACUAGUUGUUGGGGAUUCAUUUCCUUAGUAACGUAGCUAACGCGUGAAGUUGACCGCCUGGGGAGUACGGUCGCAAGAUUAAAACUUCAAAUGAAUUGACGGGGUCAUAGCUGUUUCCU